rnacentral:rRNA from 1 species
AGCAGCCGCCACGGUAAUACGAAGGGUGCAAGCGUUAAUCGGAAUUACUGGGCGUAAAGCGUGCGUAGGCGGUGAGUUAAGUCUGCUGUGAAAUCCCCGGGCUCAACCUGGGAAUGGCAGUGGAUACUGGCUCGCUAGAGUGUGUCAGAGGAUGGUGGAAUUCCCGGUGUAGCGGUGAAAUGCGUAGAGAUCGGGAGGAACAUCAGUGGCGAAGGCGGCCAUCUGGGACAACACUGACGCUGAGGCACGAAAGCGUGGGGAGCAAACAGGAUUAGAUACCCCCGUAGUCCCUGUCUCUUAUAC